rnacentral:rRNA from 1 species
CAGCCGCGCGGUAAUACGUAGGUGGCGAGCGUUGCCCGGAAUUAUUGGGCGUAAAGGGAGCGCAGGCGGACAUAUAAGUCCAUCUUAAAAGUGCGGGGCUCAACCCCGUGAGGGGAUGGAAACUGUAUGCCUUGAGUGUAGGAGAGGAAAGCGGAAUUCCCAGUGUAGCGGUGAAAUGCGUAGAUAUUGGGAGGAACACCAGUGGCGAAGGCGGCUUUUUGGCCUGUAACUGACACUGAGGCGCGAAAGCGUGGGGAGCAAACAGGAUUAGAUACCCCUGUAGUCCCUGUCUCUUAUACAC